GAUGAACGCUGGCGGCGUGCCUAAUACAUGCCAGUCGAGCGAACAGACGAGGAGCUUGCUGCUCUGACGUUAGCGGCGGACGGGUGAGUAACACGUGGAUAACCUACCUAUAAGACUGGGAUAACUUCGGGAAACCGGAGCUAAUACCGGAUAAUAUAUUGAACCGCAUGGUUCAAUAGUGAAAGACGGUUUCGCUGUCACUUAUAGAUGGAUCCGCGCCGCAUUAGCUAGUUGGUAAGGUAACGGCUUACCAAGGCGACGAUGCGUAGCCGACCUGAGAGGGUGAUCGGCCACACUGGAACUGAGACACGGUCCAGACUCCUACGGGAGGCAGCAGUAGGGAAUCUUCCGCAAUGGGCGAAAGCCUGACGGAGCAACGCCGCGUGAGUGAUGAAGGUCUUCGGAUCGUAAAACUCUGUUAUUAGGGAAGAACAAAUGUGUAAGUAACUAUGCACGUCUUGACGGUACCUAAUCAGAAAGCCACGGCUAACUACGUG
rnacentral:rRNA from 1 species